UACGAAGGGGGCUAGCGUUGCUCGGAAUCACUGGGCGUAAAGCGCACGUAGGCGGAUUGUUAAGUCAGGGGUGAAAUCCUGGAGCUCAACUCCAGAACUGCCUUUGAUACUGACGGUCUUGAGUUCGGGAGAGGUGAGUGGAACUGCGAGUGUAGAGGUGAAAUUCGUAGAUAUUCGCAAGAACACCAGUGGCGAAGGCGGCUCACUGGCCCGAUACUGACGCUGAGGUGCGAAAGCGUGGGGAGCGAACGGG
rnacentral:rRNA from 1 species